AUUGAACGCUGGCGGCAUGCUUUACACAUGCAAGUCGAACGGCAGCGCGGGCUUCGGCCUGGCGGCGAGUGGCGAACGGGUGAGUAAUGCAUCGGAACGUGCCCAGUAGUGGGGGAUAGCCCGGCGAAAGCCGGAUUAAUACCGCAUACGACCUGAUGGUGAAAGCGGGGGACCGAAAGACCUCGCCCUAUUGGAGCGGCCGAUGUCGGAUUAGCUAGUUGGUGGGGUAAAGGCUUACCAAGGCGACGAUCCGUAGCUGGUCUGAGAGGACGACCAGCCACACUGGGACUGAGACACGGCCCAGAGUCCUGCGGGAGGCAGCAGUGGGGAAUUUUGGACAAUGGGGGCAACCCUGAUCCAGCCAUGCCGCGUGCGGGAAGAAGGCCUUCGGGUUGUAAACCGCUUUUGUUGGGGAAGAAAUCCUCUGGGCUAAUACCCCGGGGGGAUGACGGUACCGGAAGAAUAAGCACCGGCUAACUACGUG
rnacentral:rRNA from 1 species